GACGAACGCUGGCGGCGUGCCUAAUACAUGCAAGUUGAGCGAUGAAGGUUGGUGCUUGCACCAAUUUGAAGAGCAGCGAACGGGUGAGUAACGCGUGGGGAAUCUGCCUUUGAGCGGGGGACAACAUUUGGAAACGAAUGCUAAUACCGCAUAACAACUUUAAACAUAAGUUUUAAGUUUGAAAGAUGCAAUUGCAUCACUCAAAGAUGAUCCCGCGUUGUAUUAGCUAGUUGGUGAGGUAAAGGCUCACCAAGGCGAUGAUACAUAGCCGACCUGAGAGGGUGAUCGGACACAUUGGGACUGAGACACGGCCCACACUCCUACGGGAGGCAGCAGUAGAGAAUCUUCGGCAAUGGACGAAAGUCUGACCGAGCAACGCCGCGUGAGUGAAGAAGGUUUUCGGAUCGUAAAACUCUGUUGGUAGAGAAGAACGUUGGUGAGAGUGGAAAGCUCAUCAAGUGACGGUAACUACCCAGAAAGGGACGGCUAACUACGUG
rnacentral:rRNA from 1 species